UACGUAGGGGGCAAGCGUUGUCCGGAUUUACUGGGCGUAAAGGGCCAGUAGGCGGCCAACUAAGUCCGACGUGAAAUCCCAAGGCUUAACCUUGGAACUGCGUCGGAUACUGGAUGGCUUGAAUUCGGGAGAGGGAUGCAGAAUUCCAGGUGUAGCGGUGAAAUGCGCAGAUAUCAGGAAGAACACCCGUGGCGAAGGCGGCUCUCUGGGACGGUACUGACGCUGAGACGCGAAAGCGUGGGGAGCGAACAGG
rnacentral:rRNA from 1 species